GAAAGCAGCGAAACUUCAGCUCCAGGUGGCCUGGAGGCGUGGCACACGAGAACGAGGGGGAGGUGUUCACCGCAGAGGGGUCGUCCCAAAUCUAGGACCCGCUGUUCCCCCUAGCCUCGCAGAAGCCAAGCAGGCCGUGGUUCUGGAAGCUUCUCAGUCUUGCCUCUCAUUAAAGUCCGAGGGUGGUUAUAAACUCCAACUGUCAAGGCAAGUUGUGUUUUUGGAGACUCUUCCAACUCCGCCAGGCUAUAAACAAUGACUUUGCCUUAGAAGUUGCAGUUGAAUAGGAAGAGCUUGGAAGAGCCCUUUGAUUUGAAUUGCCAAGUCGGAGCUUUUGAAGCUUCUCCGAAGUUUACUUGAAUUGCAGCCCGAACUACAUCUUUUCCACAAGGGCUGGACAUAUUUCAGGAAUCUAGUAUUUCCUUGGGGAAUGUUUUCCUCCCUCUGCUCUGGAAGCUGCUCUCCAUGCUCUCCCCGUCUUUGUUCAUUCCCAUGGGUUGAAACUGACCCACCCUGUGUGAAGCAAGUUCUCUGUAGGAUUCUGGAGAUCUGAUCAGGACAUCCAUCUGUGCAUUUUGGACCCCAACUCCUGGCUUCUGUAUCUGCUCUGCAUUUGACUUUCUGGACACCCUCUUCUGUUCUCCAAGACACCCUACACUUUUCUAGCUUGACAGGGAACUUGACAUUUUUUAACUUACCUAUUUAUUUGUCCUUCUCCCCUGUUAGAUUAUGAAUUCCUUAAGUCAGAGACAUUCUAUCCUUCUCUGUCAGUACCUGACACAUUGAACCAUGAUGUGGGGUGAAGAAGUUCCCUUCGCAGUUAUGAAGGGAAACCUUCCAGCUUGUAAACUGUCUCCUUGACUUAUGAGGGACUGUUCCAGAAAAAGUCAGAGGAGAACUUCCAUUCAGGCCAUAAGGAAAGCAAGAUGGGCAUGGUGGCUUAUACCUGUAUUCCCAGAACUUUGGGAGGUGGAGGAUUAGUGUGAUGGCUGGAGGCUCCGAGUUAGAAAUGAACUGCCACUUAAGGACUGUGUGUGGCUGCAGCGGCCCCUCACUGAACCCAAUUUCCUGCGAAGAGAUGGGACCAUCAUUGAUUCUACUUAAAGCAAAACAAAAUAAACCCAGAGGGUUUAGCAUG